GAUGAACGCUGGCGGCGUGCCUAAUACAUGCAAGUCGAGCGAACGGACGAGAAGCUUGCUUCUCUGAUGUUAGCGGCGGACGGGUGAGUAACACGUGGAUAACCUACCUAUAAGACUGGGAUAACUUCGGGAAACCGGAGCUAAUACCGGAUGAUAUUUUGAACCGCAUGGUUCAAAAGUGAAAGACGGUCUUACUGUCACUUAUAGAUGGAUCCGCGCUGCAUUAGCUAGUUGGUAAGGUAACGGCUUACCAAGGCAACGGUGCAUAGCCGACCUGAGAGGGUGAUCGGCCACACUGGAACUGAGACACGGUCCAGACUCCUACGGGAGGCAGCAGUAGGGAAUCUUCCGCAAUGGGCGAAAGCCUGACGGAGCAACGCCGCGUGAGUGAUGAAGGUCUUCGGAUCGUAAAACUCUGUUAUUAGGGAAGAACAUAUGUGUAAGUAACUGUGCACAUCUUGACGGUACCUAAUCAGAAAGCCACGGCUAACUACGUG
rnacentral:rRNA from 1 species